rnacentral:rRNA from 1 species
GAAGCGUCUGGAAAGGCGCGCGAUACAGGGUGACAGCCCCGUACACAAAAGCGCAUGUGCUGUGAGCUCGAUGAGUAGGGCGGGACACGUGGUAUCCUGUCUGAAUAUGGGGGGACCAUCCUCCAAGGCUAAAUACUCCUGACUGACCGAUAGUGAACCAGUACCGUGAGGGAAAGGCGAAAAGAACCCCGGCGAGGGGAGUGAAAAAGAACCUGAAACCGUGUACGUACAAGCAGUGGGAGCACAGGUUUACCUGUGUGACUGCGUACCUUUUGUAUAAUGGGUCAGCGACUUAUAUUCUGUAGCAAGGUUAACCGAAUAGGGGAGCCGGAGGGAAACCGAGUCUUAAUUGGGCGUUAAGUUGCAGGGUAUAGACCCGAAACCCGGUGAUCUAGCCAUGGGCAGGUUGAAGGUUGGGUAACACUAACUGGAGGACCGAACCGACUAAUGUUGAAAAAUUAGCGGAUGACCUGUGGCUGGGGGUGAAAGGCCAAUCAAACCGGGAGAUAGCUGGUUCUCCCCGAAAGCUAUUUAGGUAGCGCCUCGUGAAUUCAUCUCCGGGGGUAGAGCACUGUUUCGGCUAGGGGGCCAUCCCGGCUUACCAACCCGAUGCAAACUGCGAAUACCGGAGAAUGUUAUCACGGGAGACACACGGCGGGUGCUAACGUCCGUCGUGAAGAGGGAAACAACCCAGACCGCCAGCUAAGGUCCCAAAGUCAUGGUUAAGUGGGAAACGAUGUGGGAAGGCCCAGACAGCCAGGAUGUUGGCUUAGAAGCAGCCAUCAUUUAAAGAAAGCGUAAUAGCUCACUGGUCGAGUCGGCCUGCGCGGAAGAUGUAACGGGGCUAAACCAUGCACCGAAGCUGCGGCAGCGAACGUAUCACUUAAAGCGAUUCAGCGGGUUACGAUUGACGGAGCGAAGCGACGUCAAAGCGUAUACAAAGUCGAGUCGGUUUAAGGAUACGUUCGUUGGGUAGGGGAGCGUUCUGUAAGCCUGUGAAGGUGUGUCGUGAGGCAUGCUGGAGGUAUCAGAAGUGCGAAUGCUGACAUAAGUAACGAUAAAGCGGGUGAAAAGCCCGCUCGCCGGAAGACCAAGGGUUCCUGUCCAACGUUAAUCGGGGCAGGGUGAGUCGACCCCUAAGGCGAGGCCGAAAGGCGUAGUCGAUGGGAAACGGGUUAAUAUUCCCGUACUUGGUGUUACUGCGAAGGGGGGACGGAGAAGGCUAUGUUGGCCGGGCGACGGUUGUCCCGGUUUAAGCGUGUAGGUGUGUGUUCCAGGUAAAUCCGGUUCACUUUAACACUGAGGCGUGACGACGAGGCACUACGGUGCUGAAGCAACAAAUGCCCUGCUUCCAGGAAAAGCCUCUAAGCAUCAGGUAACAUCAAAUCGUACCCCAAACCGACACAGGUGGUCAGGUAGAGAAUACCAAGGCGCUUGAGAGAACUCGGGUGAAGGAACUAGGCAAAAUGGUGCCGUAACUUCGGGAGAAGGCACGCUGACACGUAGGUGAAGUGAUUUACUCAUGGAGCUGAAGUCAGUCGAAGAUACCAGCUGGCUGCAACUGUUUAUUAAAAACACAGCACUGUGCAAACACGAAAGUGGACGUAUACGGUGUGACGCCUGCCCGGUGCCGGAAGGUUAAUUGAUGGGGUCAGCGCAAGCGAAGCUCCUGAUCGAAGCCCCGGUAAACGGCGGCCGUAACUAUAACGGUCCUAAGGUAGCGAAAUUCCUUGUCGGGUAAGUUCCGACCUGCACGAAUGGCGUAAUGAUGGCCAGGCUGUCUCCACCCGAGACUCAGUGAAAUUGAACUCGCUGUGAAGAUGCAGUGUACCCGCGGCAAGACGGAAAGACCCCGUGAACCUUUACUAUAGCUUGACACUGAACAUUGAGCCUUGAUGUGUAGGAUAGGUGGGAGGCUUUGAAGUGUGGACGCCAGUCUGCAUGGAGCCGACCUUGAAAUACCACCCUUUAAUGUUU